rnacentral:rRNA from 1 species
AAACUAGGAUUAGAUACCCUAUUAUUAGGUGCUAAUUGUUACUACAGGGCAUUAAAGUAUUUAUACCUAAACCCAAAGGUCAUGGCGGUAACUUUAAUAUUNAGGGGAACUUACUCAGUAAUUGAUAACCACCACGUAUUACUACUUUAGGUAAUAUUUUGUAUGCCGUCGUCGGCAGACGUAAUAUAAUAUUGCGUCUAUAAAGAACAACUAAAAAGACAGAUCAAGGUGCAGACAAUCCUAAAGCUAGAGCGAGUUACAAUAACAACUCUCUUCAAAAGGUUAAAUAAAAUAAUCUGCAGAAGGACUUAAAAGUAAAAAGAAUUAUAAAUAUCUUUUGAAUACUAUUAAAGUUGUGCACACAUC